CCCGGGGCGUGACCUCGCGGUCCGGGGAUCUCCGGGCGUGACCUCGGGGUCCCGGGGCGGGGCCUCGGGGUCCGGGGGUCUCCGGGCGGGGCCUCGGGGUCCUGCGGUCUCGGCGUGACCUCGGGGUCCCGGGGCGUGACCUCGCGGUCCGGGGGUCUCCGGGCGUGACCUCGGGGUCCCGGGGCGGGGCCUCGCGGUCCGGGGGUCUCCGGGCGUGACCUCGGGGUCCCGGGGCGGGGCCUCGCGGUCCGGGGGUCUCCGGGCGGGGCCUCGGGGUCCCGGGGCGGGGCCUCGCGGUCCGGGGGUCUCCGGGCGGGGCCUCGGGGUCCCGGGGCGUGACCUCGGGGUCCGGGGAUCGAGUCCCGCACGUGGGGAGCCCGCUUCUCCCUCUGCCUGUGUCUCUGCCUCUCUCUCUCUCAAAAAUAAAAUCUUCUUUUUAAAAAAAAUGCUUAGGGGUGUACGUGACCUGCAUGGUAAGAAUGCAGUGCAGCUUUGCCACCAGGCCUGGUGACCCCUGCACCACCAAACGACCAAGAACUAAGACUUAAUCCCUUGGACGGCGGGUGAACACGGAAGUAUGUUCUCUUUAGCAGAGAAGGUCCAAAGGGGCACCUGGGACCACCUUAAGCAUCUCAGAACAUUUGAUGACUUCCACCUUGAUGGGAGAUGUUAAACCCAGACCUAGAGAUGGGAAUUUUUCUCCACUUCGCUUUCUUAGUGGCUGGAAUACACUCACGUCCCAGAGAAAGCCUGCUUGUCUUCUCUUUUACAACUCCUCAGUUGCCAACAGCUCCUCCCACAAAUGCUGUGACGACAUUUGUUGUGCUUUUGGAUGAAAUCUAGACUGUUGGUGGGCCUCACUGAAGAGCAAUCCUUUUAAUGUCUGUUGUUUCCUGGGGGAGAAUCCACAGGUGGCACUGCCAGCUUUUUUUUUUUUUUUUUUUUAAGCAUUAUUUUCUAAAGGUGCAAAUCCCAGCAUUGGCUGUAUCCCAGAAACAAACAAACAAAAACGGGGCCACAUACUGAGAAAAGCGCACAUAUGGAGGCCAAGAGAGGACGUAUAUCCAGUGAGAGGGUUUCCUGACUCUCAUCUACCUUGGGUCUGCAGAAUCCACGGGAACCCCUUUCUGAAACUGCUUCCUAAAUGCAGUUGGCUCUCUGCUCGGAGAACACCAUUUCGGAAUCUGUUGCAGAGUCUGGAGUGGCACCCUGGAGCAUGUAUUUUCACAGUCCCCGACUCCGCGGGUGAUUCUGGUGCCGUGAGCCAUGGGAAGCUGUGGAAGGUGGUGAAACGAUUGAGUUCAUGUCCUUAAAGGUAACCCUAACAGCGGCACGGUGACUCGAUUGGAUGGCGCUGGACUGGAGACCCCCGGACUGUGCUACGCAAGAACUGAUGAAGGCCUAAACUAAGAGAGUGGCCAUGGAGAGAGGAUGACGUGGGAGAAAGGAAUGAUUUACAGAGUAUUUAGGAGGUAGACUUGAUGUAAUGUGGCAAUUGGCUCAAUACGCAGAGCAAGGGACAGGAAGGAGUUAAGUCCUAGCUUGGGAGAUUCAGGUAAUAGUUAUGCAAUCCUAGAAGGUGUGAUAAUAAUGAUAUUAAGCAUGUGCUGUGUGUGAGGCAUUAGGAACUUUGUAAGUAUUAGCUGUAUAAUCCUCACAAAGCCUUACAAGGUGGAAAUAGUCACGCCCUCUUACAGAAGAGAAACUAUUCAGGGAGGGGUUAAGUCUCUUAAAAUGGGAUACACUAGUCUCUUCACUGCAGAAUGAGACCAUCGUUCUGUAGCUAAAAAUGUUUAUUUUGGUAUCAGCUAGUUUUCCCAAAGGCUGGUCACCCCUGAGUGAGAUGACCAGGUUCUAGAGUGUGUAGCAAACUUUGGUGGGGUCUUAACCAACACAGAACAAUCUGGAGAGCCUCGCACUGCCAUGUUGGCCCUAGGGGGCUCUGUGUGGUUAUGCAGUACCAGUUCAUGUAUGUAUCUGCAGGGGACAUUCUGUGACCUCAGUUAUCUGAACUGUAGCCAAGAGCAAGAACAGAAGCAAACAAUAAACCCUGGAAUAGCAGGAGGGAUGCAAAUAUCACAUUCAGAUCUAAUGUGCUCUGCUCAGAGGGAAAAUUAAUUUGGAGACAUAUUAAUCUAUUGCUCUUGACUAAUUCCUCUGAAACCUGAUGGCUUACAAUGAUGAACACUAUCUCACAGUUUCUGUGGCUCCUGUGGUUCAGGAGAGCAUCUUAGCUGGGUGGUUCUGAUGACUCUGUGUCUCCCAUGAGAUUGUGAUCAGCCUAUCAGCCGGGGCUUGACUGGGCCUGAAAGAUCCGUUUUCACAACGGCCGACUCCUAUGGCUGUUGGCUGGGGGCCUCAGUUCAUCUCUACACUGGCGUCUCCAUAGAGCAUUUGAAUGUCUUUGAGAUUGGGCGCUUGACUUUCUCCAGAGAGAGUGGCCCAAGAAAGAGGGAGAGAGAAGCCAUGAUGCCUCUUAGGACUUAGCCUGAGGAGUCACCUGCCAUUUCCACAGUAUCCUAUUUUUCCACUAGUCUUCUCUCUUCAACGUGGACGGUCACUACACUAAAACAGCAGGACGUGGGGAAUCAUUGGGGGUCCUCUUGGAGGCUGUAGUCACAGCGGAUUAAAAAAAAAUAAAAAUAAAUAAAAAUAAA